UCCUCCGCAAAAAAUUGUUGAAAUUUGUUCAUGUCCCUCCGCUGGGAGCUGUAUCUAAAAAGAGCUACCCGUGGGCCUGCUCUUGUUUCCCACCUAAAACUUCAGUUUCUUGUUUAAUUUCCCAAGAUUGUAACUUCUUUCUAGUGUAAGGAUCUUUAGAAAGAAACCUGAGUGGGUGGGAGGUAAAUAUAAAUCACGAUGUUAUGACUCAAGUUUGUGACACACAUCGAAUCUCAAGCAAUAAAUAGUCCUUUGAAAGAUGGAUGCAAAAUAGAGCACCUGAAAGAACAGAGAACAGCUUACUCUCCUGUGCCAUGCUCCUAUUGCCUUGUCACCGUAAAGGAGAGCUAACUGCAAACCACACGCACCAGAAAAAUUCCUUCUGUCCUUUUAUCAGUUUCUAUAUCUAGGACACCCUGACUGCAUUGCUGAAGGCCUCAGAGAGCAGGAAGAGGGAUGAAACGACACAGUAUUUUAGCCCUUGUGAAAGGAGUAUGAGAAUUUCUUGAUCGCAGGCUCCUACACGCUAAAAGGCUUUGGCAGCUCCAAGGGGCUUGGGCCAGCGGAAGGUCAGUAAAUUUAAACUGCACUAGCUCUCAGCUAAAUAGGCCUUUCUGAUUCAAAGGGAACACACUAAAAACCAGAGAGCCAAAAGACAGACAAGAUUUUGAAGUAUUUUCACCAAACAACACUGCACCCAGGCUGAAGCAAAGCUCCAAGAACCAUGGCUCCAUCAACAGAAGAAUUUCAACCACACAUCUGACAAAAUGCACCGCCUACAGGCACCCGCAGAAGCUUAGAAUCACACACUCAGGGCAGGCACAGCUACAGUGCAGUUCAAGUCACUCACUGCUGCAUAACAAAGCAUCUUCGAACUUAGUCUCUUAAAACAAUAAUA
rnacentral:sRNA from 1 species